rnacentral:pre_miRNA from 1 species
GUCCAUUCUUCUGAAAGCUAUGUUCAGGAUAUCUGCAUUGCUCAUUAACAUGUCAGCGUUUUAGACCAGACGAAACAUUGACACAUUCAUGAGCAUUGUGGAUGAUCUUGAAAGUAGCUUUGAGAAUGGUC